UUAACACAUGCAAGUCGAACGAUGAUCCCAGCUUGCUGGGGGAUUAGUGGCGAACGGGUGAGUAACACGUGAGUAACCUGCCCUUGACUCUGGGAUAAGCCUGGGAAACUGGGUCUAAUACCGGAUACGACCAUUCCACGCAUGUGGUGGUGGUGGAAAGCUUUUGUGGUUUUGGAUGGACUCGCGGCCUAUCAGCUUGUUGGUGGGGUAAUGGCCUACCAAGGCGACGACGGGUAGCCGGCCUGAGAGGGUGACCGGCCACACUGGGACUGAGACACGGCCCAGACUCCUACGGGAGGCAGCAGUGGGGAAUAUUGCACAAUGGGCGCAAGCCUGAUGCAGCGACGCCGCGUGAGGGAUGACGGCCUUCGGGUUGUAAACCUCUUUCAGUAGGGAAGAAGCGUAAGUGACGGUACCUGCAGAAGAAGCGCCGGCUAACUACGUGCCAGCAGCCGCGGUAAUACGUAGGGCGCAAGCGUUAUCCGGAAUUAUUGGGCGUAAAGAGCUCGUAGGCGGUUUGUCGCGUCUGCUGUGAAAGACCGGGGCUCAACUCCGGUUCUGCAGUGGGUACGGGCAGACUAGAGUGCAGUAGGGGAGACUGGAAUUCCUGGUGUAGCGGUGAAAUGCGCAGAUAUCAGGAGGAACACCGAUGGCGAAGGCAGGUCUCUGGGCUGUAACUGACGCUGAGGAGCGAAAGCAUGGGGAGCGAACAGGAUUAGAUACCCUGGUAGUCCAUGCCGUAAACGUUGGGCACUAGGUGUGGGGGACAUUCCACGUUUUCCGCGCCGUAGCUAACGCAUUAAGUGCCCCGCCUGGGGAGUACGGCCGCAAGGCUAAAACUCAAAGGAAUUGACGGGGGCCCGCACAAGCGGCGGAGCAUGCGGAUUAAUUCGAUGCAACGCGAAGAACCUUACCAAGGCUUGACAUGAACCGGAAAGACCUGGAAACAGGUGCCCCGCUUGCGGUCGGUUUACAGGUGGUGCAUGGUUGUCGUCAGCUCGUGUCGUGAGAUGUUGGGUUAAGUCCCGCAACGAGCGCAACCCUCGUUCUAUGUUGCCAGCGCGUGAUGGCGGGGACUCAUAGGAGACUGCCGGGGUCAACUCGGAGGAAGGUGGGGACGACGUCAAAUCAUCAUGCCCCUUAUGUCUUGGGCUUCACGCAUGCUACAAUGGCCGGUACAAAGGGUUGCGAUACUGUGAGGUGGAGCUAAUCCCAAAAAGCCGGUCUCAGUUCGGAUUGGGGUCUGCAACUCGACCCCAUGAAGUCGGAGUCGCUAGUAAUCGCAGAUCAGCAACGCUGCG
rnacentral:rRNA from 1 species